CCUACGGGAGGCAGCAGUGAGGAAUAUUGGUCAAUGGGCGCGAGCCUGAACCAGCCAAGUAGCGUGAAGGAUGACUGCCCUACGGGUUGUAAACUUCUUUUAUAAAGGAAUAAAGUGAGGCACGUGUGCAUUUUUGUAUGUACUUUAUGAAUAAGGAUCGGCUAACUACGUCCCAGCAGCCGCGGUAAUACGGAAGAUCCGAGCGUUAUCCGGAUUUAAUGGGUUUAAAGGGAGCGGAGAUGGGUUGGUAAGUCAGUUGUGAAAGUUUGGGGCUCAACCGUAAAAUUGCAAUUGAUACUGGCAAUCUUGAGUGCAGUUGAGGUAGGCGGAAUUCGUGGUGGAGCGGUGAAAUGCUU
rnacentral:rRNA from 1 species